rnacentral:rRNA from 1 species
GACGAACGCUGGCGGCGUGCUUAACACAUGCAAGUCGAACGAAGAGCGAUGGAAGCUUGCUUCUAUCAAUCUUAGUGGCGAACGGGUGAGUAACGCGUAAUCAACCUGCCCUUCAGAGGGGGACAACAGUUGGAAACGACUGCUAAUACCGCAUACGAUCUAAUCUCGGCAUCGAGGAUAGAUGAAAGGUGGCCUCUACAUGUAAGCUAUCACUGAAGGAGGGGAUUGCGUCUGAUUAGCUAGUUGGGGGGGUAACGGCCCACCAAGGCGAUGAUCAGUAGCCGGUCUGAGAGGAUGAACGGCCACAUUGGUACGGAGACACGGCCCAGACUCCUACGGGAGGCAGCAGUGGGGAAUCUUCCGCAAUGGACGAAAGUCUGACGGAGCAACGCCGCGUGAGUGAUGACGGCCUUCGGGUUGUAAAGCUCUGUUAAUCGGGACGAAAGGCCUUCUUGCGAAUAGUGAGAAGGAUUGACGGUACCGGAAUAGAAAGCCACGGCUAACUACGUG